rnacentral:rRNA from 1 species
GACGAACGCUGGCGGCGUGCUUAACACAUGCAAGUCGAACGAAGAGCGACGGAAGCUUGCUUCUAUCAAUCUUAGUGGCGAACGGGUGAGUAACGCGUAAUCAACCUGCCCUUCAGAGGGGGACAACAGUUGGAAACGACUGCUAAUACCGCAUACGAUCUAACCUCGGCAUCGAGGAGAGAUGAAAGGUGGCCUCUACAUGUAAGCUAUCACUGAAGGAGGGGAUUGCGUCUGAUUAGCUAGUUGGAGGGGUAACGGCCCACCAAGGCGAUGAUCAGUAGCCGGUCUGAGAGGAUGAACGGCCACAUUGGGACUGAGACACGGCCCAGACUCCUACGGGAGGCAGCAGUGGGGAAUCUUCCGCAAUGGACGAAAGUCUGACGGAGCAACGCCGCGUGAGUGAUGACGGCCUUCGGGUUGUAAAGCUCUGUUAAUCGGGACGAAAGGCCUUCUUGCGAAUAGUGAGAAGGAUUGACGGUACCGGAAUAGAAAGCCACGGCUAACUACGU